ACCUUCGGGUGGUGAGUAAAGCGGCGCACGGGUGAGUAACACGUGGGUAAUCUGCCCAUGGGUCUGGGAUAACUCGGGGAAACUCGGGCUAAUACCGGAUAAGACCACGCUUCGGAAGUAGCGUGGGAAAAGCGGGGGAUCCUUUCGGGGACCUCGCGCCGAUGGAUGAGCUCGCGGCCCAUCAGCUAGUUGGCGGGGUAAUGGCCCACCAAGGCAAAGACGGGUAGCUGGUCUGAGAGGAUGAUCAGCCACACUGGAACUGGGACACGGUCCAGACUCCUACGGGAGGCAGCAGUGGGGAAUAUUGCGCAAUGGGCGAAAGCCUGACGCAGCAACGCCGCGUGAGUGAUGAAGGUCCUCGGAUCGUAAAGCUCUGUCAGCGGGAAAGAUGGGGGCGAUGGCUAAUAUCCAUCGUUUCUGACGGUACUCGCAAAGGAAGCACCGGCUAACUCUGUGCCAGCAGCCGCGGUAAGACAGAGGGUGCAAGCGUUGUUCGGAAUCAUUGGGCGUAAAGGGCGCGUAGGCGGUUUGGUAAGUCGAAUGUGAAAGCCCAGGGCUCAACCUUGGAAGUGCAUUCGAAACUACCUCACUUGAGUCUCGGAGAGGGUGGUGGAAUUCCCAGUGUAGAGGUGAAAUUCGUGGAUAUUGGGAGGAACACCG
rnacentral:rRNA from 1 species